rnacentral:piRNA from 1 species
UAGGUGCUAAAUAAAUGUGCAGUAUCAAGAA